GACGAACGCUGGCGGCGUGCCUAAUACAUGCAAGUAGAACGCUGAAGAGAGGAGCUUGCUCUUCUUGGAUGAGUUGCGAACGGGUGAGUAACGCGUAGGUAACCUGCCUUGUAGCGGGGGAUAACUAUUGGAAACGAUAGCUAAUACCGCAUAACAAUGGAUGACACAUGUCAUUUAUUUGAAAGGGGCAAUUGCUCCACUACAAGAUGGACCUGCGUUGUAUUAGCUAGUAGGUGAGGUAACGGCUCACCUAGGCGACGAUACAUAGCCGACCUGAGAGGGUGAUCGGCCACACUGGGACUGAGACACGGCCCAGACUCCUACGGGAGGCAGCAGUAGGGAAUCUUCGGCAAUGGGGGCAACCCUGACCGAGCAACGCCGCGUGAGUGAAGAAGGUUUUCGGAUCGUAAAGCUCUGUUGUAAGUCAAGAACGAGUGUGAGAGUGGAAAGUUCACACUGUGACGGUAGCUUACCAGAAAGGGACGGCUAACUACGUGCCAGCAGCCGCGGUAAUACGUAGGUCCCGAGCGUUGUCCGGAUUUAUUGGGCGUAAAGCGAGCGCAGGCGGUUUGAUAAGUCUGAAGUUAAAGGCUGUGGCUCAACCAUAGUUCGCUUUGGAAACUGUCAAACUUGAGUGCAGAAGGGGAGAGUGGAAUUCCAUGUGUAGCGGUGAAAUGCGUAGAUAUAUGGAGGAACACCGGUGGCGAAAGCGGCUCUCUGGUCUGUAACUGACGCUGAGGCUCGAAAGCGUGGGGAGCGAACAGGAUUAGAUACCCUGGUAGUCCACGCCGUAAACGAUGAGUGCUAGGUGUUGGAUCCUUUCCGGGAUUCAGUGCCGCAGCUAACGCAUUAAGCACUCCGCCUGGGGAGUACGACCGCAAGGUUGAAACUCAAAGGAAUUGACGGGGGCCCGCACAAGCGGUGGAGCAUGUGGUUUAAUUCGAGGCAACGCGAAGAACCUUACCAGGUCUUGACAUCCCGAUGCUAUUUCUAGAGAUAGAAAGUUACUUCGGUACAUCGGUGACAGGUGGUGCAUGGUUGUCGUCAGCUCGUGUCGUGAGAUGUUGGGUUAAGUCCCGCAACGAGCGCAACCCCUAUUGUUAGUUGCCAUCAUUCAGUUGGGCACUCUAGCGAGACUGCCGGUAAUAAACCGGAGGAAGGUGGGGAUGACGUCAAAUCAUCAUGCCCCUUAUGACCUGGGCUACACACGUGCUACAAUGGUUGGUACAACGAGUUGCGAGUCGGUGACGGCAAGCUAAUCUCUUAAAGCCAAUCUCAGUUCGGAUUGUAGGCUGCAACUCGCCUACAUGAAGUCGGAAUCGCUAGUAAUCGCGGAUCAGCACGCCGCGGUGAAUACGUUCCCGGGCCU
rnacentral:rRNA from 1 species